GGGAAAGUGGCUCAGUGGUAGAGCGCUUGCCUUGCACGCCUGAGGCCCUGGGUUCGAUUCCUCAGCACCA
rfam:Dipodomys ordii contig_82342, whole genome shotgun sequence.